GCUAACUACGUGCCAGCAGCCGCGGUAAUACGUAGGGUGCGAGCGUUAAUCGGAAUUACUGGGCGUAAAGCGUGCGCAGGCGGUUUCGUAAGACAGAUGUGAAAUCCCCGGGCUUAACCUGGGAACUGCAUUUGUGACUGCGAGGCUAGAGUGUAGCAGAGGGGGGUAGAAUUCCACGUGUAGCAGUGAAAUGCGUAGAUAUGUGGAGGAAUACCGAUGGCGAAGGCAGCCCCCUGGGCUAACACUGACGCUCAUGCACGAAAGCGUGGGGAGCAAACAGGAUUAGAUACCCCUGUAGUC
rnacentral:rRNA from 1 species